rnacentral:sRNA from 1 species
AUUCUUGGUCAUUUUAGAGGAAGUAAAAGUCGUAACAAGGUUUCCGUAGGUGAACCUGCGGAAGGAUCAUUAACGAGUUAGGGUCUCCCAGGCCCGACCUCCCCACCCUGUGUUUACUGGACCGUGUACAAGUCUCCUGGCCCGUCUUUGGACCGCCGGAGGACCGUCGUAGGUCCUCUGGCCCGUGCCCGCCGGUGGCCAACCUUAACAAAUUCUUAAUUAUACGUGUCCUUGUCUGAGUAAAUGAAAUAAAUAAAGCAAAAAACUUUCAACAACGGAUCUCUUGGUUCUGGCAUCGAUGAAGAACGCAGCGAAAUGCGAUAAGUAAUGCGAAUUGCAGAAUUCCAGUGAGUCAUCGAAUCUUUGAACGCACAUUGCGCCCUUUGGCAUUCCGAAGGGCAUGCCUGUUCGAGCGUCAUUAUCACCCCUCAAGCCCCUGGGCUUGGUGUUGGACGGUCUCGGUGAGACCUGCAGUGUCUCACCCCUCCUAAAGACAAUGACGGCGGCUUCGUUGGACCCCCGGUACACUGAGCUUCUUUACUGAGCACGUACUGGAUGCGGGUGCGCGGGGCACGGUCUGCCUCCCCUUAGGGAGAACUUUUUCAUAACAAGGUUGACCUCGGAUCAGGUAGGAAUACCCGCUGAACUUAAGCAUAUCAAUAAGCGGAGG